CACAUGCUCCACAGGUUCCAUGUGCUCCACGCUCUCCAUGGGCUCUGGCAGAGGGGGCAGGGCCGAGCCCUGGGGCUCUGGGGUUUAUUUGAUGACCCCAGAGCUGUCAGCGGGUGUGGGGCCGUAUCAAAGCCGGGCUUAGCGUGGGCUCAGACUGAGGGGCCAGGCAGGGUUUAAGUGAAGCCUGAGGGCUCCAGCAGUUCAGGGCUGAGCCUUUCCCUGCCAGCAAAUCCCACUUCAGAAAGAUUCCCCCCACACAGCCAACUUUUGGCCCUGGAGAUGGGUUUGCCAUGAAAUCCCCACGCCAGUGACAAGGAGGCCAGAUUCCCAGUUGCAGGACCAUUCUCCUCUUCUAUUAGUGGUGGGAAACCUGGCAAAACUCCCCAGGCUUCCCAAAGCUGGGAACACCAGGAAAGGGAAGGGAAUUAAGCACCUGGAGGAUCACAAACAUCCCUUUAUCUCCGGAUUGUCUCAUGUGGAAUUGGCAGCUGGUCUGGCUCCAAACGUCUGUGUGAAGUUGGAAUUCCUGAAAGACUUUUCAAGGGGCCACGGGCUCGUGCGCAGGGAAGCAGAACAAAGGGAAAACACAACUGCUGUGAACUGGGAUGAACUUCCAGCCAAAGUUAGGAGAAGGAAUUCCAGCUUUUGGGAGCUUCUUGGUGUCCUGACUCUUGGUCAGCUCAGCUUUACGUGGACUCAUAGUCAAUAAAUUCCUACCCUGAA